rnacentral:rRNA from 1 species
GCCAGACUCCUACGGGAGGCAGCAGUGGGGGAUAUUGCACAAUGGGGGGAACCCUGAUGCAGCGACGCCGCGUGGGUGAAGGAGUAUUUCGGUAUGUAAAGCCCUAUCAGCAGGGAAGAACAAUGACGGUACCUGACUAAGAAGCACCGGCUAAAUACGUGCCAGCAGCCGCGGUAAUACGUAUGGUGCAAGCGUUAUCCGGAUUUACUGGGUGUAAAGGGAGCGUAGACGGCUGCGCAAGUCAGAAGUGAAAGCCCGGGGCUCAACCGCGGGACUGCUUUUGAAACUGUGUAGCUAGAGUGCAGGAGAGGGAAGUGGAAUUCCUAGUGUAGCGGUGAAAUGCGUAGAUAUUAGGAGGAACACCGGUGGCGAAGGCGGCUUACUGGACGGUAACUGACGUUGAGGCUCGAAAGCGUGGGGAGCAAACAGGAUUAGAUACCCCAGUAGAC